AACCCAGCAUGGAGCAUUGUGCAUCAUCCUAACCGUCCUUUCCGAAAAAUAUAAGAGCAUCCGAAGAACCAGCUCAGUCAGCAAUUCGUCGACCAUCCAGCCUGUGUUACGCACCGCUAGCUAAACUCAGUCAUGAAGGCCUGCCUGUGGAUAUCCUUGCUCUCCCUAGUCGCAGUGGCAUAUGGAGCCUCAGUGUGAGUACUAAAUCUAUAUCUACCAAGUAAUUGUAUGAAGCGCGUGUUUAUGUACACUUUUACUAAUUGCUCGCGUUCUUGACUUUCUACCCUGUUUUAUCAGUGCCACAGAAACUGCGGUUCCCAAUCUAGUUCUCACAAAAGAAAUGCAAGCUGAGGUUGUGCAAGAAGCUGGCAAGAGUCUCGAGACGCUCGGCAAGAUUUUGCAAGGCAAAGACGUUGCUUCAACUAAAGAAGAGCAAGAUGAAGUGCUGCAAGUCCUGCGUGCCCUCACCUCAGACGAAGCACUGAGCGACGAUGCAGCAGAAUACAUCUGGCCCAUAAUUGCUCGUGGCGUGGUGCAAGGAGGCGUAGCGCAUGGAGUCCACAAGUGGCUCAACAGGAGGGCAUAGACAAAGUCCGCGCCAGUAAAGUUUUUCCGCGUUGAGUAAUAUUUUGUUCCUUGAAAAUGUUUUCAUGUACACCUGUUUAUGCAUAAGAUGCUCGAACUGCUUCGUGCGACUGGAAAAUAAUAAAAUCAAAUAAAUUGUGACUGAAGCACU
rnacentral:lncRNA from 1 species